GGGCCGGUGGUGUAACGGUUAACACACUGAUCUUUUGGAACCUUUGGAGCUGAGAUCCCAAGUUCAAUCCCGGGCUGGUUCA